AAAGAUUAAGCCAUGCAUGUCUCAGUAUAAGCAACUUGUACUUGUGAAACUGCGAAUGGCUCAUUAAAUCAGUUAUAAUUUACUUGACACUGACAUUUACUACUUGGAUAUCCGUAGUAAUUCUAGAGCUAAUACAUGCAUUAAGGUCGGACUCGAAAGGGAACGGCUGUAUAUAUUAGAUCAAAAACCAUUCGGGGCUUUGUGGUAAUGGGUUUCGGCCUGUUGUCAUGGGGUCCAUUCAACGUUUGGUGAUUCAUGAUAUAUGUCGAAUCGGGGCAUUGCCCUGAUGUGUCAUUUAAAUUUCUGCCCUAUCAACUUUGGAUGGUAGGAUAGAGGCCUACCAUGGUUUUGACGGGUAACGGGGAAUUAGGGUUCUAUUCCGGAGAGGGAGCCUGAGAGACGGCUACCACUUCCAAGGAAGGCAGCAGGCGCGCAAAUUACCCAAUCCCAACCAUGUUGGGGAGGUAGUGACAAAAAAUAGUAAUGUAGGUAUCUUUAUGGUAUCUACAAUUGCAAUGGUUCGAACGUAAAUUGUUCGAAGAGUAGCCACUAGAGGGCAAGUCUGGUGCCAGCAGCCGCGGUAAUUCCAGCUCUAGUAGUGUAUACUAAAAUUGCUGCAGUUAAAAAGCUCGUAGUUGGAUCAUUAAGGGGCCAGUAUGCUUGACUGUCAUGGGGUCUUGGAGCAUCAUAUGCUUCUUGCACUCUGUCGUUAUUCAUUUUGGCAAGCGGGGUUCAAGCUAUUUCACUAUAGCUUCCCGUUGUGUCAUGGUUUAGCGGCCUCUCGGGUUGGCUCCUUUAAAAUGCUCGGAACUCUAGGGUCCUCUUAAUUGAGCGGCUUUAGGGCGUCGGGGAUUUUACUUUGAAGAAAAUGGAGUGUUCAAAGCAAGCGUUUCGCGGCUGAACACAUUAGCAUGGAAUAAUAAAAUAGGACGUCUGUGGACUUCUACCGGCUUCGGACUACAUGUUUGCGUGAACUCAUCUUGUUGCCUCUGUGUAGAUUGGUUAAUUUGGUUUGGUUUUCUGACCAUUCUGUAUGUUAGCCUUUUUAUUCUGGGCCUUGUCUUGAGUUCCCAGGUAUGGUUUACGUCUGAUGUUCAUAGGGGAAGCUCUAGCUAGACUAUCCAUUUUGUUGGCUCAUGGAGCAGGCGUAAUGAUUAAUAGUGACUGUCGGGGCCAUCCGUAUUGCAAUGUCAGAGGUGAAUUUCUUGGAUCGUUGCAAGACGAACUUAAGCGAAAGCAUUUGCCAAGCAUGUUUUCAUUAAUCAAGAACGAAAGUUAGGGGAUCGAAGGCGAUCAGAAACCGCCGUAGUCUUAACUAUAAACUAUACCAACUAGAGAUUGGUAGGCGUCUACAUAUGGCCCCGUCAGCAUCUUUAGAGAAAUUAAAGUCUCUGGGUUCUGGGGGGAGUAUGGUCGCAAGGCUGAAACUUAAAGAAAUUGACGGAAGGGCACCACCAGGUGUGGAGCCUGCGGCUUAAUUUGACUCAACACGGGGAAACUUACCAGGUCCGGACACGGGAAGGAUUGACAGAUUGACGGCUCUUUCUUGAUUCCGUGGGUGGUGGUGCAUGGUCGUUCUUAGUUGGUGGAGUGAUUUGUCUGGUUAAUUCCGAUAACGAACGAGACCUCAUCCUGCUAACUAGGCGGACGACGGGUUUUAUUACUCGACGUCUUUUAUCUGGUAUGGGGGCAACCCUUUAUUAGAUUUGCCUUCUUAGAGGGACUACCCCAGCUGCAUGGGGGGGAAGCAUGAGGCAAUAACAGGUCUGCGAUGCCCUUAGAUGUCCUGGGCCGCACGCGCGCUACACUGAUGCAGUCAACAAGUUUGUCCUUGCCCGAAAGGGUUGGGUAAUCUUUAAACUGUCAUCGUGCUGGGGAUUGGUCUUUGUAAUUUUGGACCAUGAACUAGGAAUACCUCGUAAGUGCAAGUCACCAGCUUGCGCUGAUUACGUCCCUGCCCUUUGUACACACCGCCCGUCGCUCCUACCGAUUGAAUGAUCAGACGAAAUGUUCGGAUUGUGUGGUUGCGGCUGUUCGCGCAGUUGCGAUUGCAUGAGAAGAACAGUAAAUCUUAUCAUUUAGA
rnacentral:rRNA from 1 species